rnacentral:rRNA from 1 species
UAGGAGGUCCCGCCUGCCCAGUGACCACUGUUUAACGGCCGCGGUAUUUUAACCGUGCAAAGGUAGCGCAAUCACUUGUCCUUUAAAUGAGGGCCCGUAUGAAUGGCACCACGAGGGCUUUACUGUCUCCCUUUUCAAGUCAGUGAAAUUGAUCUGCCCGUGCAGAAGCGGACAUAAAACUAUAAGACGAGAAGACCCUUUGGAGCUUAAGACAUCAGCCAACUAUAUUAAUAAGCCCAUCAACCGAGACUUAAACCCAAUUAGGCCUGGCCCCCGUCUUCAGUUGGGGCGACGACGGAGAAAAAUAAAGCCUCCAAGCAGCAUGGAAUUUUCCUAAAAUCAAGAGCAACCCCUCAAAAUAUCAGAAUCUCUGACCUCACAGAUCCGGCCCCGCCGAUCAACGAACUAAGUUACCCUAGGGAUAACAGCGCAAUCCCCUUCUAGAGUCCCUAUCGACAAGGGGGUUUACGACCUCGAUGUUGGAUCAGGACAUCCUAAUGGUGCAGCCGCUAUUAAGGGUUC